UAAUACGGAGGGAGCUAGCGUUGUUCGGAAUUACUGGGCGUAAAGCGUACGUAGGCGGAUUGACAAGUUGGGGGUGAAAUCCCAGGGCUUAACCCUGGAACUGCCCUCAAAACUAUCGAUCUAGAGACCGGGAGAGGUAAGCGGAAUUCCUAGUGUAGAGGUGAAAUUCGUAGAUAUUAGGAAGAACACCAGUGGCGAAGGCGGCUUACUGGACCGGUACUGACGCUAAGGUACGAAAGCGUGGGGAGCAAACAGGAUUAGAUACCCUGGUAGUCCACGCCGUAAACGAUGGGUGCUAGAUGUUGGGGCUUUAAGCUUCAGUGUCGCAGCUAACGCAUUAAGCACCCCGCCUGGGGAGUACGGUCGCAAGAUUA
rnacentral:rRNA from 1 species